rnacentral:rRNA from 1 species
UACGUAGGGGGCAAGCGUUGUCCGGAAUCAUUGGGCGUAAAGAGCGUGUAGGCGGCCAGAUAAGUCCGCUGUGAAAUCUCGAGGCUCAACUUCGAGCUGUCGGCGGAAACCCUCUGGCUAGAGUCCGGAAGAGGAGAGUGGAAUUCCUGGUGUAGCGGUGAAAUACGCAGAUAUCAGGAAGAACACCUAUGGCGAAGGCAGCUCUCUGGGACGGUACUGACGCUGAGACGCGAAAGCGUGGGGAGCGAACAGG